rnacentral:rRNA from 1 species
UACAGAGGUCUCAAGCGUUGUUCGGAUUCAUUGGGCGUAAAGGGUGCGUAGGCGGCGCGGUAAGUCGGGGUGUGAAAUCUGGGCUUAACUCCGAAACUGCAUUCGAUACUGCCGUGCUUGAGGACUGGAGAGGAGACUGGAAUUUACGGUGUAGCGGUGAAAUGCGUAGAUAUCGUAAGGAAGACCAGUGGCGAAGGCGGGUCUCUGGACAGUUCCUGACGCUGAGGCACGAAGGUCAGGGGAGCAAACGGGG